GGCACUCAUUAGCAAAUAGAAGAAAGGUCUUCUUCUAAAUAAUAAGUUAUAAGGCCAGAAGAAAUGAAGUAGGGAGGAUGUCUGGUUCAAAGAAUAACGAAUGAGAUAAGAGGAAGUUUCUAAAAGGAAGGCCUCCGCCUGAGAGGAAGAACUGCAGAUGGUUUUAAAUAAAACAAAGAGAAUCUGUGUUAAAUCAGCCAUCAUAGCCCUUCCCAACACACACACUAGUGUUAAAUCCUAUGUGAACCCGGGUGCAAUGGAAAAACUGUUGGCAGUAAGAAGGAGGGGAAAAAAGGCCUUGGGAAGAAAUGAGGUUUUAAAUCGUCUGGAUUAGGACUGGAAAUAAGGGUGAACUAUCUCAAGUUGUUUUUUAGCUAAAGUCAGUAAUUGGCAAUGACAUUACUUGUUUAUUAAAGGGUAUAAAAAAGAAACUCUUAAAGGGUUCAUUGCUAAUACCUUCUUGAUCACACCGGACCUGACCAAUAUGGGUCUAAGCACUCCUGGGUUUAGCCUGUUGUGAAAUAUUUUCUAUUUGAGCAUCUGUUGUUUCAUGCAAAGACAAUGCUACAUUUGCUCACAAGAAUGAAACCACAAUCGUUUCAGGGCAUUCCAUUAGUCUGUUUAUGAUUGGUAUAUUACUCAGACACCAAGACAAUAGGCACGCUAUAAGAAGAUAGAACUGAGUGCUUCUGGUGCUUUUGUACCUAAUGGUUUGAUUUUUUUUUUGUAAGAAACCAGGGCAAUGUUACAUGAAGACACCACAGAUCUUCCAUGGGAAUUAAACCCACAGAUCUUCAGCUCUGAAAGGCAUGCACCAGCCCGAAUAGAAACCAUUGUUGCAUUUCCAAAGCACAGUACAGGUAUUUAAAUAUAGGGGACUUUCGUUUAAUAAGGUACUUUGUUACAAAAUUUGUAUUGGCGAAAAUAAUUAUUUUAAUUUGGAUUCAAUCUGAGGAAAGGUUCUCUUUCAUGUGCUUUCUCUGCACCACAUUCUCCUGUGUGUUUCCCAUGCUGCUAAAAUGUAAUGCCAGGGGUCUAUGGAAAUUUCUCUAAGACAAAUGUAUAUAUGACUUGUGACUGGAAUAAGAAAUGAGCCUGGAUGAUGCCGAGAAUGUUAAAAUCCUGUACCAAUAUCUACAAGCUGGUGACGAAUAAUAAAUCAGAUGUUUUCAUUGUCAGUUUAACAAGUUAAGUAAAAUGAGCCCAUAGCAUGCAAUUGUCAAUGUUCUUGAUAAAAUAGCCUAGCCAACAGAGCCCCAUUUUCCAGAAGGGGUUUUAUUAUCUCUUUAAAUGGCUUUGUAUAUUACAUUAAGGUCCAGGCUGUUCCUGGCCCUUGCACAGAGUGAGAGGGCAAAGGAGCCUUCCCCACAUUGCAUACCCAGAUACAGCCCCAGCCUCAGCACUUAGAGGCGUAUUUAUUGCCUUCUCCAUCUGUCCAUAUCACUAUAAGGAGUCGUCUCCCCAAACCACUGACCUGCUGCUUUCACACUUUCCCUGAGCAUCAUGGGGCACCCUGAGGAACAGUCUCUCCUUGUACAUGCUGAGAGGCCUGUGUCCAGUAGCAAUCUGUCCCCAGUUCGCACGCCUGAGCUCCUGGUGAUCAUACCAUCCUAGGUCCAUGAUGAAUUUCACUUAUCCUUCUCUACUUAAGGUAUCUCCAUUUUACUGGGAAUGACUAUAAGCCAGCUUCUUUUCAUGCAGGAACUCUUACAGAUUUUGGGUUACCUUCCUGAUGCCACUGUUGGAUCCUGAUCAGAGGCAAAUGGAGAUCUGUAAUUUCUCUUUGGGGGGUGGGGGGUGUGUGUGCAUGUUCAAGUCUGAAGUCCCUUAUGAUUUUCCCCAGUGGUCUGUCUUGGACACCACUGCAGGCAACAAAGAGUAGGUAGAAACAAUUCUCUUAAUUGAACAGCAGCAACUUGAAACCUUAGGUUUUUGAGCCUGUAGCAGCAGCAGAGAGCUGAGCUAGAGCAGAGGUGGGCAAACCACAGCCCAUGGGCCACAUCUGGCCUGCGGAACCCUCCUGCUUGGACCCUGAGCUCCUGGCUCGG